rnacentral:rRNA from 1 species
UGAGGAAUAUUGGGCAAUGCCCGCAAGGGUGACCCAGCAACGCCGCGUGGAGGAUGAAUGUCGUAAGAUUGUAAACUCCUGUUAGAGGGGAAGAAUAGUACCGGUUGGACCGGUAUAUGACUGUACCCUCAGAGAAAGCCCCGGCUAACUACGUGCCAGCAGCCGCGGUAAUACGUAGGGGGCAAGCGUUGUCCGGAUUUACUGGGUGUAAAGGGCGCGCAGGCGGGAUAAAAAGUCAGUGGUGAAAUCCUACAGCUUAACUGUAGAACUGCCUUUGAUACUUUUAUUCUUGAGUUCGGGAGAGAGAGACGGAAUUCCAGGUGUAGUGGUGAAAUACGUAGAUAUCUGGAAGAACACCAGUUGCGAAGGCGGUCUCUUGGUCCGACACUGACGCUGAGGCGCGAAAGCGUGG